rnacentral:tRNA from 1 species
UGGGAUAUAGCUCAGUUGGUAGAGUACUUUCCUCACAUAGAUAAGGCCCUGGGUUCAAUCCCCAGCACCACAA